rnacentral:lncRNA from 10 species
UUCUGAUUGUUUCUGGACUGUGAAAUUUUUUUUCAGCCAUACAUUAAAAAUAAUUUUGACAACAUUUCAUCCAUCAGGGAUUGACUAGAGCCAAGGGUGUUAGUGGAUGAUUAUAGAGGACAUAACUUUUCAGGGUGAUGAAAAUGUUCUAUAUCUUGAUUGUAAUAUGGUUUCAGGGGCAUAUAUAUAUAUUUGUCAAAACUCACUGAACUGUACACUUAAAUUUACUUAAAUACAUUUUAUUGUACGUAAAUCAUGGCUCAAUGAAGUUGAUUUGAAAAAUACUUUAGUAUGUUUAGUAACUACACUGGAAGUAAUUCUGUUGACUACACAGCCAGCCAUAUUUCUUAAAAAUCACAACCAAAUUUUACAAAGGUGGACUGAGAAGUUGCAAGCAACAUAUAGAAUGUUUAAGUCAAUCAGGAAGUCCUUGAAAGCCUGGAAAAUGUAAAUACCAUAAAUAAGAAGACAUGUUUCAAAACCACUACAAACAAUGAAUAGUUAUAGAUCUGAAUUAAGACACUUUAUUGAAUGUUUAUAAUUUUAUGUUGCCUCAGCAGCCAUUUUGAAUAUAUGUUGGACUUUCUCAUACUAGAAGCAGGGCUCAACUAUCCUUGACACAAUUUCCAGUUCUACAUUACCCACCCCCAGCUCCUCAAUGUGGUUCAUCUAAAUAUCUGCCUUAUAAAAUAUCUCCUUCAUGACCAGUCACUACAGAACAGCUAGAGUCAGCUUACUUGACGACCUGUUGACCUCACACCCUGCAUGAACUGUGCAGCAGUCACUGCAUCACCUCCUGGAACUUGUACCUCCUUGCUUUAAAUCCACUAAUUAAAACUCUUUGCAGGAAACCUGUUUGAAAAAUGCUAUGGACCACACUACAUUGUUGACCCAUGAGUUCCUUUCUUUUUCUUCCUGACUUCUGAAUAUGUGGCUUCAAGGCCUGCCUUGGACUGUCCAGGGUCUAUAAGUAUUAAAACUUUAAUACUUUCACAUUAUAUCAUUGAAGCCAUGCCCACAAUCCAGCCUCUGAGAGGGAGACCACCUGUGGAUCCACGAAGGUGAAUCUCUUGCUGGUGCUCCUUUGUCCAGGUGUCUGGUGGCUGCUGGAGAUGGUAGCUGCCAGCUAAGUUUAGAUGUUUCGUUCAAAACAGCAAGUAACACUAAAAAGGAAUUAAGAUAUGGCAUGAAGAAAGAAUGCACUGGCCUCAAUUUCUGAUAAGGUAUGGAUGAACCUUCCUCAUGCCAGACAAGAAAGCAUGAUAGAUUAGCACACUAUGGUAAAAUGUAUUUCUUCAAAUUAAUAAACCUACAUGAGAUAAUUCACAUUAGCCAAUAAGGCAGAAUACAGUAAAAUUAUAUAACAAUAAUUAUUUUUCUAAGAAGUGAGGAAACAGAUGAAUAAAAAGUGAAUCUCUCCCAGGAAAGGUAAACAGCAACUGUGGCCCAAUGUCUCUGCAUCUCUGGAAAUAAGGAGCUGAAGAGGCUGGAAAGGUAUAUUGACAGAAAGCUGAUAUAAGAGAAGAGAUGGACUAAAGAUAAAUUUCAGCUAUUUCUGAUUUCAUUGUGGGCCAGGCCUGCUAACUAGUAAUAAUUACUGCUCUUCUUUCCUUGUAAGUCUCUCCUUCCUUUCAGAUCAUACUGUUUCUUGUUGGUCUCAGGAAUUUAUUACACAAUGAAAUUUCUUGGAUUUGAGACGAAAUCCUGUUGUUCACUCAGGAGUUAAAUAUCUGUUCACCAGGGUGUGCUCAUAGAGGUAACUGCUCUCACAUGUUUUGUCUUAAUUAUAAUUGGCAAACUUUCACUGCGAAUUUUUCCUCGGGGACUAGUUGACAGGUUUG